GAUGAACGCUAGCGGGAGGCCUAACACAUGCAGGCCGAGCGGGAUUUGUUGGUUAGCUUGCUAACUAACAAUGAGAGCGGCGUACGGGUGCGUAGCACGUGUGCAACCUGCCUUUAUCUGGGGGAUAGCCUUUCGAAAGGAAGAUUAAUACCCCAUAACAUAUUGAUUGGCAUCAGUUAAUAUUGAAAGCUCCGGCGGAUAGAGAUGGGCACGCGUAAGAUUAGCUAGUUGGUGAGGUAACGGCUCACCAAGGCUGCGAUCUUUAGGGGGCCUGAGAGGGUGAUCCCCCACACUGGUACUGAGACACGGACCAGACUCCUACGGGAGGCAGCAGUGAGGAAUAGUGGACAAUGGGUGAGAGCCUGAUCCAGCCAUCCCGCGUGAAGGACUAAGGACCUAUGGUUUGUAAACUUCUUUUAUACAGGGAUAAACCUACUCUCGUGAGGGUAGCUGAAGGUACUGUAUGAAUAAGCACCGGCUAACUCCGUG
rnacentral:rRNA from 1 species